AUAACAUACACCAAAUUAAAAUUUAAAUUACAAAGCUUUGCCUUCAAAAGGGCUUAAAAAAACACAACAAAUAACAUUGCCAUAAAAAAUAAAACACUUCAUGCAAAAAAUAUAAAUCUUCAUUGUGCACAUCAUCCCAAUCAAAAAGCACAUCAAGAUGACAAGAACAUUGCACUUUGAUUCCGUAAUGCCAUUGACAUCAAAACCUGGAAAUCAAGAUCUAAAAUUAUAACAUGAUAAAAUAAAUUUGAAUAUGUAAAAAUAAAAAGUAGUAUUUUACCAUCAAAGUAACUUCUGAACUAAUUAUCAUCCGAUGCUACAUGUAACUUUCCAUCAAAUUCUACAAAAUAAAAAAUUAGAAAUGUUAGAUGAUUGCAAACAAUUUAAUUAAUAAAUUACAAAAUAAAAGGUGCAAGUUUCAAA
rnacentral:lncRNA from 1 species